rnacentral:lncRNA from 1 species
UUUGUUGCUGCAGUUCAACGCACUUGUACCCUUUGAUUAUAGGUGUAUGUGAAUAGGAUUCAGGUGUAUAUAGCUGCAACGCACUGCUACAUUACAUCGAUAAACCCAAAAAGAAAUGAUACAUUGCGAAGUUCAGUACAGUGAUGGCUAAAAAAUCAGAGCAACACAGGCAAUACAUGGCUGCGAUAUCCUACUACGAUUACGAUAAUACAGUACAGUACAUACGAGGAGCUUACUGAAACGCUCAAAUAGUACAAUAGCAUUCACACAGACCCAGGUGCAGCUACGCUGGGCAGGCGUCCCCUCCUUUAAGCUCGGCUCCAUCGAUCUCUGGCGUGGUCGCGGUGGGCGGCUGCCGGUAGAGCGCCGUCAUGAGCGGCGUCGCGACGACCGUGGUCGUGAGCGCCAUGAUCACGAAGAUGGCGAACGUGGUGUCAUCCAGCACCUUCUUCUCCUUGCCGAUGUUGAGCACGAUGAGCUCCACGAGUCCCUUGGCGCUCAUGGCUACGCCCAGCGCGGCCGCCUCGCGCCUGGCCAUGCCGGUCGCGGCGAGGGCCACCGCGAGCGUCCCGGAGAACUUCCCCAGCAGGGCCACGGCCACCACGAGCGCCACCAUGCCCCACGCGGCCACGCCCCGGACGUUGUCCACGUCCGUGUGCAGCCCGCUCGUGGCGAAAUAGAGCGGCAGCAUCAGCCCGGACACCAGAGGCGUCACUUUCUCGCCGACGCGCUCCGCGAGGCCGCCCUCCCUGGGCAUGGCCAGCCCGAACACGAAGGCGCCGAACACCGGGUGCACGCCGAUGGCGUCCGUCACGGCGCCCGCGAGGAGAGCGCACGCCACCGCGCCGGAGCAUACCAAGUCGCUCUCGGCACAGCCGCACGGAUCAGCAAGGCGCGCCCUGAGCGCGGCCAUGAGAGGCCGGAGCGCGAAGAUCAUGAACGCCACGAAUACGGCCCCGGACACGAGGAUGUAGACCGGCGCGAGAGGGGCCCCCUUCGGCUCGCGGCCUCCGCCGCCGCCGGACACGGCGAGCGCGAGGGCUAGGAGGGCCCAGGCGAAGACGUCGUUCACGGCGGCCGCGGCCAUGGCGGUCUCCCCGAAGGGCGUGGCCAGGAGGCCGAGCUCCUUGAGGAUGCAGGCGAGCACGGGGAGCGCGGUCACGGAGAGCGCGGCGCCGAGGAACACGCAGAGGGAGAAGAAGGACGUGUGGCGUUGGCCGGGCGCCGGGACGGCCAGGUCGAGGAGCGCCACGACGCCCGGCGCGGCGAGCAGCGGGGGCACGAUGCCCGCGGCGGCGAUGGCGGCGCUUCGUGGGCCCACGCGGCGCACGGCGCGGAAGUCGAGCUCCAGGCCCACCAGGAAGAGGAAGAGGAGCAGGCCCAGGCCCGAUACGGUGUCCAGCGCCGCGGUGCUCCACGCCGGGAAGAGCGUGCGGUGGAAGGCGCCCCAUCGGCCCAGCGCCGAAGGGCCCAGCAAGAUGCCGCCCUGUGCAAUUGGACAUGCAAAGCUUUUUUUUAGGAACGACAUGCAAGCUUUUAUAAGUUGAUUGAACAAUGUUUCAAGUACUCUUAUCUCACUGCUAGAUCGAGAUGACAUCAGCCUUUCAACUUACUAGUCGGCAGCAGUUAGCCAGCCUUUAUAUAUAAGAGAUAGUAGUACGGGGACUGCUCCAUUUUACAUGGUCUAGAAAAUGCCAAGUCGUUGUUCUUUUGAGAUAGUGCGGUGAAAAAGAAAUAUGCAAAUGUCAAAUUUGAUGCAGGGCAGCACCGCAGCAGGACGGCGCAGCAGGACGGCUACAGAACAUAUCAUGCACUCUCGAUGAAUCAGCUGUCUUUCUUUUACUCCACCCGUCCACCAUCGCACGAACUUAUACUACUAUCUCGGUUUCAAAAUAAAUGACAUAAAUUUAUAUAAAAAUCUAGAAUUAAUUUGGGGCGGAGGAAGGAUAUGUAUUAACUUAGAAACUUACUUGCAGUGCCCUAAAAUUACACAUUAGGUUUAGAAGCAUGCAGUUAAUUAAGUCACGAAAAGGGCCGUAAAUUGCGCUUGGUUAUUUAUGUUUGCAUAUGGUUAAUUUGUAGCAAUAUAUUGCCAUGCUUAACCUUAAUCAUCGAUCGCCACAAUUAACUGCGGCUUGUCGGUCUUUACCAACAUAUAUAUGCACGACUACGAUGCUCGUGUAGAUCGACUAAUAGUUAAGGAAUGUAGUACACAUAUACCCGAGCACUCAAAAGCUAGCAAAACACAUGUAUACCAGGAUCUCGGCGACAACCCUAGGUUGGCGCAAAGGCUUGAGAGCAAAGGCGAAUCCCUGAGUGACGACGAGCACGACGGCUAUCUGCACCGCGAGGAGUGGCAUCGCGAAGUCCAGAGGGUUCUCUCCCUGCCACAGCCCGUCCGACGCCAUCUUCACGGCCAUGUUAAUUGCUGGCUGCUGAUCUACUGCUUGUUCACGCGGGCAGUAGGAUUAACGGAAUUGUCCUGGCUAAUUGUAAUCUCGCAGUAGUACUGUUUUUGCGUGCAUGCAUGUGGGUGGUGGCUGUGUUGGGCUUUCUUGGACUAGAACGUACAACGCUCCCGAUUUAUAGGCGCUCGUCGAUAUAUGCAACCUGGCUAGCUACCUCAUGCACCUGAUGAUUCAUUGGCUUAGUGGCCUUCUCCAUCAUUAGGGGAGAAAGAAGAUUACGUUUUGGACGGAGGUGCGGAAAUGCUCUCGCAUGAUGCGAUCGACCAGCUCCUGUGUGUACGUGCUUGGAAAUUCAAAGGGCAUAACACACUCAUCAAUCCUUUUUCCCUCCAGCUGGAGUUGCUGCUCCUUGUAAUUUGUCCCCUGGUGAAGAUUGACUACCUUUGGAAAGAACAAUAUCUGGUAGGGAGGGGCGAGAAACAAACAUAUAGACGCACUGAUUUAUGCCAAAUUAGCCGAACUAAGAGCUACUACUUCUGGGAUCUAAUAUACUCCCUCCGAUUCAUAUUAUCGUAUAGAGACCUACUUCACAAAUUUGCUCUCUGAGAUCUUCCCGAUUUAACCUAUUAACAUCUCAAAUACCUAAUUGAUUUAUUCUACCUCAGGAGUAAAGUGUGAAAAAGAAUACUUCACAAAUCAAAAGGAAACAAAAUAAAAUAUUAAAAUGUCACAUUCACAACUAAUUACUUUUCUUUUUGAAAAGAAAAUAUUGUUAGUUCUACUAAACAUAUUGAUUACACUUAAAUUUUUAAAUAUGGUAGAGUGUUCUAGACAUACCCCAUUUAUUCAUUUCCAAUUUUUUUUUCAUGAUGAUUUGGUGCUCAAUCAAAAGGGGGCAGUGUAUGCUGUUGCAUACAGCAUACUAGUGAGCUAUGAAAGACGAGGAGGUGACUGCUGGUCUCUGGAGAUGUGUGGUAGAAACAGUUUGCAUACAUUAUGUGCAUAUAAAUGGUAAAGUAAAUCAGUUCAGAACAGUCGUGGGUAUUUCUAGGAAGUGAACCAAGUCGGAUAAUGUGGACUUUUUGUGAUAAAUUUGCACCAAGCUAACCUUGUCGUAUUAAUUCUUCACACUUCUGCAUCAACAAAAACUGCACACAUUUAAACCAAUUUGUUUUAAACUUUUGAUCAUUUCCCGCUGCUAUAUCCUUAGCCAACGAUGUUGGGAAAACAUACAGCCACACAGAGUGCACACGCACAAAUUGAUGUCUGCCCGGCGGUGAAACAGACAUAUGCCAUAUGGUUCACAAAUCAUGUACACCAUUGAGCCUUUGUGCAGGACGCCGGAGAAGUAUAACCCUGCCACCCCCACUAACGGAGGCAAGACUUGUGGGUGCCGAUUGCCGGGUGCCGACUUUCUACCGAUUAAAGUAGCUAGCAAUGACAACGCCAGCCAUGCAGCUAACUCAGCACCUCGCUCUUUGAUCUCUCUCUCUCUCUCUCUCUCUCUCCCAAUCAAUCAAUCUUUCUCUCAAAUGUUCCGGAUCCUAGUCCAGAUCGCAUCUGCAUGUGGACGGCACAGUUCAAUCGAAGGUUAUAAGUCAAUCCCGGCGCGUACACAUCUUGAUCGACAUCAACCCCUUUUGCGCACAUCUGUUCAUUGACCUGAAAAGGGGCAAUAUAAUGCACCCGAGAGCAGCUAUCAAGCUGUAUUUGAUAGCUUGAUCCCACGGUUGGAGCAUCCUGAUUGGCACAGCAACUCAGUGCAUUUCCUUGAUGCCACUCGAUAAGGGGUUAGUUUAAUGACUUAAUCUUGAGAUUGGUUGGAGGCUUUGAUUAACUGAGCCAUCAAGCUCCGAGAAUCUGUCUAUCAAGAAGAUUGAUUGGAAAGCUCAGGAUAAAUGUUUCCACCACUGCAAUAUGCUAGGAUUAGUUUAGUUUUCUGUGACAGGGGUUUGGUGGUCUGACAUGUCAUUGCUGGAAUGGGCAAUCUGAUUGUGGUAGACUGCCACCUCAGUCCGAUUUGUCAUUGGACUACUGGAGACCAAAUUGACUCUCAUACUGUCGUGAUCCGUCUCUGUCUUAGAAUUUUCUUCUUGAAUCCAUUGUUCAUUCAGUGGAAAGUAUCUAGUUCAGUGGAAAAAUUUAUAGAACAAAAAUUAUGGAUCAACUAGUUUUGGUUUGCCAAAAAUAAUUGUGGAGAAGAAAUAAAUUAGGUGGGGGGGGGGGGGGGGGGGCUUGGCACCUCCGAAUUGCAAGCUUUUUGCGUGCGUUAUUCUUCAUAACCGUGUAUGGACCUUAGACUAGACUUGUAGAUCUUUUUUAUCUUCCAUGUUAUCAGUAUUUUUGUUGUGAGUUCGUUUUACCAUAAAUUUUAGAUUUCCGCUGAAGCAAGGGUAUCUACAUCGUAGAACUGAUGAAUAUGCAUAAAAGCAUUAGAUCAAUUCAAAACAUUAACAAAAAUGAGAAGUUGCGUUCAGAUCCACAGAUAGCAGAACAUUCUCAACAACUCAUUAUUAAUCUUGUCCGUUAUAAAAAGAAUGGAGUAAUAUCCCACAUUUGACAUGACCUUGCUUUAAAUUUUUUGUUUCCUUUUUUUUAAGAAAGAGGGACACUCACUGAUUUCAUAUAAAGAAACCAUAGAAUUUACAUAAGUUUCAGAGGGCCUCCAAACAAACCAUCUAUAGUUAGCCACACAUGUAGGGAAACAAACAGAACACAAUAGGUGCUGUCAAAAGAAAAGAAAAAACAGAGGAUUCUGUCCAGCUAGCAUAAAGAAUAGAAAAAAAAAACCAUCCAGAUAUUCAACUCUUCACAGCUGCUUAAUGCUCCAGUUCAUUAGGCGAGCCUAACCUUGAGACGUUAAACAUUUCGGUCGUUACUCGCCACAGCUUGUGCGAGUCUUGGGAGGAGCGCCUCCAUGCUUUCACCUCUCUAAAGACCGGACCACUGAUCUAUCAUAGAACACACAUCAAACAUUACAACAGUUGGGUCAUAAGGCAAAUUCUCAAAGCAAGCUUUACUUCAAGUCUCCCGUAAGACCCGAAUGACUGCUGCAAUCCGUAAAACAACAAGAUUUAUAUCCUUCCCGACGAAAUGUAAGCUCCAUGUUUCCAGGAUCUUUUUAAAAUUAGCCGGACUCUGAUUAAAACUAAAAGUGCAUUUAACAACCAUCCAAAUAUAUCCGGCCAAAGAACAUGAGAAAAACAAAUGCUCUUGAUCCUCUUUGGAGCAAAAAAGCAAAUUGUUACUCUCCUUCCCAGCCCCUUCUCUUCAAAUUCACUUUAGUCAGAAUGCUUAUUUGAAGCACGAGCCAAAGAAACUUUCCACAUCAAUUUAAAUGGAAGGGAAUCUGUUGCAGCUUAAGCGCUCUGUGCAUGGAACUGACUGAAAUUGUAAAUCGGAGUACAUACAUAAGUAAAUCUGAGGUAAUAUAUGUGAGCACUGGUUUUCUCAACAACAACCAAUUGGUUUACUUAGAUGCUUCGUAACAUCCAAUAGAGAAUCCAUGACCAGCACAAAAGGACACACUGCCAGAAAGAACAUGGCAGCAUUUACAACAUUACAUGCAUACUUGAUAGUUUGAAGACAUUUGUGCGCAACAAAUAUUAAUAGAUUGGGCAAUACUAUUAUUCGGCAGUAAGUUAUCCAACUAAAUACUGUCUAGAUUACCGAUCAAAAAGAGAACCUAGCAGCUAGUUACGAAACUGAUAAUCAAAGAUUAUACUAAACCAGAACAUGAAAGCACCCUAUCUUUUCAUGAAUACUUGAGUUCAUGGUUUCUGUUCAUGUCACAAACUGUAGACCUAUGAUGUUACUCAGAUACUUGCCUUGAGUUCACGGAUUGUUUCCCUGGAGUAUCCUUUAAUGGGCAACAUCCCACGAGUUUAGCUUGUGAGUGCAAGGAGUUUGUCAAACCAAUAGAUCACUUAUGCAAUUUUGGUACAUGAUAUUUCGGAAAAACAAAAUGUAGAUAAAUUUUGAUUGCACAUAAUGACUGGAAACCCACUGGUUUAGAGGCGGCCAACACGAUGGGUUGCCCACUGCCCCCCUUCCUGGUGAAAUACCUCGGGAUCCCCUUGGCGCUCUGGAAACCCUCCCCGGAGGCCUUUACCCCCCUGGUGGACAAGAUCGCUGACCGCCUCCCUACCUACAAAGCAGGGAUGAUGACUAAGGUUGGACGCCUAACGUUGGUCAAGGAGGUCCUGUCAGCCAUUCCCCUCCAUCAGCUGACGGUGUUAGGCCUCUACCGAAAGGUCCAAAAGCAGGUGGAGAAGAUCCUGCGUGGCUUCCUCUGGUCGGGUCGGGCUGAUGCUAGGGGCGGUCACUGCCACGUCAACUGGGCUAAAUGUUGCCGGCCUUUACGCUACGGUGGUUUGGGCAUCCCUGACCUUGCCAAAUCGGCUGUCAGUCUUCGCAUCCAUUGGAUGUGGUGCAUGAGGAAUGACCCACAACGCCCUUGGCGUGGACUCGAUCUGCAGUUUUCCCACACCGAGCGGAGCAUCUUCUUUGCCUCGACCAGGAUGGUGGUUGGCAAUGAUUCCUCCACGUUUUCUGGGAAGACCGGUGGAUUGACGGCCGGGCCAUUUCGGAGCUUGCCCCUGCCCUUUACCUGCUCAUCUCGGAACGCACCCGCAGGUCCCACACGGUUGCUGAAGCCCUUGCCGAUCGACGUUGGAUCCGUGACAUCCGUGGGGCUUUUGGGCCGCUGGCUCUUUGGCAGUACAUCCAAAUUUGGAACUUGGUCCGGAAUGUUCAGCUCACAGACGCGGCGGAUGUCAUUCGGUGGAGAUGGACAUCCGACGGUCAGUACUCUUCCAAGUCGUGUUAUGAGGCCCUCUUCCUGGGAGGGAUUCCAUUGGAAACUUGGAAGCUGAACUGGAAGGUUUGGGCCCCUCCCCGGGUCAAGUUCUUCAUGUGGCUUGCUUGCCAAGACCGUUGCUUGACGGCCGAGCGGAGGGCACGCCAUGGGCUGCCGCACUCCCCUAGAUGUUUGUUGUGCGAUCAAUUCUUGGAGACCAUGAACCACCUCCUGGUCGACUGCCCAUUCUCCCGCUCUAUCUGGCAUGAAGUCCUUUCUUGGAUCAGAUCCACCCCUCCUUUCUUUGCAGCGUGGUAGCAGGGAGCUGUCCGUUCCUUCCCUCCUUCUGCUCGGAAAGGCACUAUGUCGGUGGUCUUGCUCACGGCUUGGUCGAUCUGGAAACACUGCAAUGCUGCUGUCUUCGACAACUCUCCCCCCAACAUCGCUUCCCUCCUCGACCUGAUCAAGGCGGAGGCUCGACAGUGGUCUAGGGCGGCAGCAGUGGGCCUGGGGACGCUGCUGCCGCUAGAUCUUAGUUAGGUGCGUCGUGUUGUAUUCGGGUGUGGCCCUCCGUGGCCUUAUACAUAACUCUUUCUUAUCUAUCUAUGCAUCGAGACGCAAGACUUUUGCGUUUUCUAUAAAAAAAAUGACCGGAAAAUACAAAAGAUGGCCGAAUGGAUAACAGCCUUAUCUUUUCUACUGUAGAAAUGAUAUAUAUGCAUGCGCUAUUUGAAGGAACCAGCAAGAUAAAAAUUCCAACUGAAGACUAAAUAUGGAAUGCUAGAAGACAUUACCUGCACCUCUACUCUAAUACAGAAAUGGAACUUGAAAUACCAUGUAUAUUCGUAAGUAUGAAAUCCUGAGGCAGCAAAGAGGCUGGCAGAGAACAAUAAGUACUCCGUAUAUGUUUUUGCAGCCUGCAGUCUAUGUCAUUUCCCUUGCCAUGUGGAGGGCAAUCUCACGUAUGAACUGACUAUAAGAGCAUGAGUGGUGAAAAUUAAAAGGAGAAAUUUGCAUAAAGAAACAGAAGAGAUGAUACCUGACAUAUACCAGUGGCAAGGGAGAUUCUUAUUAAUCAUUUCAGGUUACCUUUUUUUUGUGAAAAAAAGAGAUUUCAUUGAUCACAAAACUGUUACAUGUGGGGCAUCCUCUAAGGGAUUACUCCCUAACCAACACAAUGUCCGUUGGCUAGACCGAGCAUAAUUUGCUAGUCAUGACUAACACUAUUCUGUGACCUCUGAAUUUUAUACAACUUAUUCUCUCUUUGUGAAACUAACAAGCGCUGCACCUCCUUAACAAGGCUACAGUACCGAGACCUGUUCUGUUCAUGAGCUUGGACCUGAUCAAUAGGUUACCUUGUUUGGCAUAAAUAACAGUCAGCAAACUAUACUCAGGCUCUUCUUUUUUCCCUAGAUAUAUUGAAGGAAAACCAUUUAAAAUAUAGAAUGUUAGAAGGGGGUGAUCUGGAAAAAUAAUCCAUUGUAAAAUUCUUUGAUAAGGAUCAACCUGGUCCAAAAGGGUUUUAUGCCCAAUCUUUCACGGCGAUCGACGAACAAGCAGGUCAGCAACCGAGCGAAAUCAAUCUGAAGUAAUCCAGAUCAAAUCCCUUCAAAUUCCUCACGUUGGAACUGAUUAGAAUCAACUCCACCGCAUGGCAUAACAUCAGAUCUUCAAGAUCAGCAAGCAAACACGACGAUAUGCACCCCCAAACAUUGGGACUUUUCUGGUAUAUUCAUAAUCUCAAAAAUUCAACCUCCUUACAACGAGGGCUAUCAAAAACCCUUUAUAGGGUGACUCUAAUCCUAAUUGGGUGGGCCAGGGCCCACGCCACAACUAUGGCCCAAAGGCUGACUCAAAGUGGUUUUGGACACGCCCAAAAACCAUCAAACAAAAACAAAGUAAAACACUUCCGACUUUAAGGAAAUAAAAGACUCGAACAACUCAAAUCCUAAACUGAACCAAACUUCAAAACUGGUGGUGUUCUAAAAUUGGGCUUCACCUCUUCCUUAGCGGAAACUUCAACGCAAAAAGAUCCAAACUUCAGAAUAUAUGGAGUUGGUGAAAUAGAAGGGGUAGUCGAUAUCCUCGCCUCAUCAUUCUUUAUUUCUUAUCAUCUGUGGUUUAGCUUUGUUGGGAAUAAUAAGUAGCAAGCGGCUGGUCUUCUUUUUCCUAGAUACAAUGAAGGCCAUUCAAAAAAGUAAAGAAAUUUAAAGGGGGGUCAUCUAGGAAAAUAAUACCCAGUCUGACAUUCAUGUAAUGAGAAUCAGAACAGAUUAUGCCAAAUCAAAAUUCCAUGUACAAACAGAUUGCAUAAUCAUAAAAAGAACAAUUAGUAUUGCAUAGUUCAACUGGGCUGAAUGUCAUAAAACAAAUAUAUUCCACCGGCUAGAACCUUCAUACCUUGAAUAAAAAAGGUUUGACGAUAUGUGCAGUGGACAAUUAUAAGGAAUAUACAUCGCUUCAAUGUUUUCCACAUUAUCUUAACAAAUGCAUGUAAUACCUAAUGAUAUAAAGUUCGUAUAUCAGUUGGUAUAGAAAACCUGGAAGCACAAUCAGACUGAAAUGGACCAUCAUAAAUCUUGUGAACCUGAUGUCAUAAGGUGCUUCUAGAGGCACACAGUUUGGAGGCCUAUCUACGAGUCUGUGAAGCUCACAAAAAUUUAUCUUAUCGCCAGAUAAAGAGCUUGAUAUGUUUUACCAAACAAGCACGUUCAAGUAUCCACGCAAGCAUCAGAACGGCCGAAAAGAUGAUCACAGUAUACAACACAUGCACAACAAAGCACACACCUAUCAUACCUUAGAACAAAGUGAAAGAUGCACACACAUGGCAAAUUCGUAGAAGCAGCAGCGACACAGCGACCGCGAGAACCAUACCAUGCAGUUUUAUGCAAGCCCAGAUAAAUCAAUGGCCAAUGGUCACACCACGAACCCUAUGGGAUUGAGAAAAUGCCACCUGACUCAAAUUGUAAAGUACUUCUAGGAUACAAGAUUCAGAAAAUGGAACUGUGUGUUCCAUGUGUUCGAACAAAAACAUCAACAUUCAGUGAACUAAAACAGAAAUCUAUAUCUACCAUGACCUGUGUACAUCUAGGAUACAAGAUUCAGAAAAUGGAACCGUGUGCAUAUCCAUGUGUUCGAACAAAAGCAUCAACAUUCAGUGAACUAAAACAGAAAUCUAUAUCUACCACUGGUCAUGGAUAGGAACAAGAACAAAAAUUCCAUGCUCAUAAAUUUUUGCUGCACAUGCUUAUAAAUUUUUGCCAGGGAGCUCGUGGAGGAGAAAUCAGGGUGGAUCCGUUGAGCUACGGAGAUGGAAAUUACCAGGGGUAGAUUCGCCUGGUCAGAAGAGGGAGGCGGCCGGAGAUCCGCCCUUGCUAAAACAAAUGUACUAAUUUCUUUGGACAACCCUUCUUAAUUACUGCCAGUUGCUACUUGGAUAUCAGAAAAGAAACCGGCAAAGGAUUUCGGUGCUGAUCAUUCUGAACUCCCUGAAACCUCUGUAGGAGUUUGGCUAUUUAUUUAAAGCACUGGGUUUUUAGAAUAAUUGGGGUCAUGCAAAUUUACUACUUGUACCUCUUUUUAUUAAAGACUCAGAUCUUAAACGUUCAGAAAAAAGAAGAUAAACAAUGAGAUGUUUCAUGUAUACCCUACUUACAAAUCCCAUUUAAAAGCAGUACACACAUCUUCCUUUGAUGCCAUCAACGAACUAACACCAUCCCAGAUGUACCCUCACAAAUCCAAAUAGUUCAAGUCAAUCACCCUGCCUUGUAAUUGUAAGCAACUAAGCCCAGCAUGCUCAAUCAGAAUACAUCCACAGCCUCCUCCAUGGAUAGGUUUGGGAACAGCCCUGAAAAAACGCAGAUGACAAGUUUUGGAUAUCAACCUACCGCAGCACGACCCUGACCUUGAGCUGUGAUUUGCAAUAGACUCUUGAUCUUUUAUCGCUGCCUGGAUCACAUCCAAGGAGUUCACAUAGCCGCCUACUUUCACACUGUAACAAAAAAGCGUAGAAGUAACUAAAUACACAAAUAAGUUGCACAAUAGAAAUACUUAAUAAUCACAUGGAUGCUUCAAUUAAGGAAACUAAAGCUUAAGCCCCUUGGUCUGAAUAUAAAUUGAUUUUCCUGGUAACAUAACAGCAAACUCAAAAACAAUCGUGUGUCUUAUUUAACACAAAACGCAUCCAUCAUGCAUUCAUGAAAUGAACAAUAAAAUUGGGCUACUAAUUUUAAAAUUUAAAUACAUGGUGGCAUCAUGGCUAUCGAGAAACAGGAAACAGGCCAUGAAUGAAAAACCUAAAGAAUAUCAUUCCAGACUGGUACAGUAGGAAAGAACUGCACUCACAAGUAUUGGAGAGUGCAUUCUUAUUGGAUGAGAUAGAUCUUUUUCAUAUAAGAUUCUAUUAUUUAUACACAGAAAAGGAGACAAUCUGAAACAAAGAGUAGCUACAUAUGACCAUACUAAUAACAAAGGUACAAUUUAAUCUAGGAUGCUUCAUCUGGAUUAGUUACCAACCAUGAUAUCGGAGGUAAAAAUUAGUUACCACAACAAUAAAAUCUAGAUAAAUCUAAGGAAAACCGAGUAAUACAAAUCUUCACUCCGAGAGUGAAAAUUGAAGUGGUGUAGAGAAUGUGCUUGCAUCAACCAUCAGAUUUUUUUUAACCAAAAAUCAAGCUGAAUUCAAAUUAUAUCACGUAGCAAACCUGGAUUUAGUAAAAAAAAAAACGUACCUGCCAUCAACAUCAAAAAGAAUAUGUUGAUCUUUUAUGUGCCUCCAUCAGAAGUCCGGAAUAGCAACCCCGAAACAAGAGAAGGAUGUCGAUGCAGCCAGUCGUGCAACGAAAUGCAAUUGGAGCUUCGUGACUCUUAGAUUUUCCUGGCAUUAGUGUAUCUUUUGCAACCAUUACUAUCACAGAUCAGUACACUUCAAUUAAAAAUCACUUCUAAUUGACCACCAAUAUAACUUCCCAUUCAAUUAGAUCAGAUUAAUGGGUGACGUACACAAUGUACCCACUGCUAAUCAUCAGUGAACAUGACUAACUGGGCAUACCUUGUGUGUUAUUCAGGCCGUGUGACAUUGGCAUUGGUAAAGUUCCAUAACAAUCCUGUUCCGCAGCUGCUCCACAGAUAAGUGGAUUCCCUACCAUGCUGCAAGAAAAAGAAAUUCUCUCUUUAAACUCAAUUCUUGUAUAUAUGCUUAAAAUGAUCCAAGCAAUGUCCCUUACAUGAAGUUUGGGUUCCUUCAUAAUCCUCGUAGAGCUCACGCCAGCAACCCAUGAGCCGCCCCAAAUGGGCCAGUCAAUGAAGAGCCUACCGACAGAACUCGCGGUACCAGAAAGACUAAUUAGCAAGGAAAAAACUAAGAAAACAACUACGAGCAACAACCGAUGCAGUGGAACAUGCAUAAGAACCACAAACCAUCAUCCACAUCAACAACAGCAGGACAAACCGAAGAAGAGGCAACAGAUGCACGCCUGCACGGCGCGAACGAACUGCAGCGGCACGGCAGCGCACCGAAGCAGCGCCUGCAAACCAGCAUCUAGACCGAUAGGUAAAAGGGGGAACGAACCUGCAGAACGCACUGGCAAAUCGGGGGAAGAGUUGCAGCGGCAAAGUCACAAACCGAGACGGCCGGGAACAAGGGCAGCAGCUGCCGGCACUGCAGCCGCUAGCAGCGAAGAAUCGGAAGAAGCCGCCCUUGCCGAAAGAAAGAAACAGGAGGAAAGAGGCGGCCGAAAGAAAGCCCACGAAGCCCACCAUGUGCCCCCGAACCGACCCACACAAGCAGGGCUAACGGCUCAUACCGAGCUCACGAACGAUUUCAAACACAAAAGCGACCACAUGAACGAAGCUUUGCUCAUCCAGACCGUGCGGACUGGAGCCAUUCGCCAGAACCGAACUGGAGGGGUGUAACUGCAAAAUGUGGGAAACCGGCAGGUGGGGCUGGCUCUAAGCGUUCUUGUCUUAGCUUAAGACCAGAUGACACCGCUGGGACCCACGGAGAAGCAAAUCAGACGGCGUGGGUCCCACAAAAUUGCCACGUCGGAUCAUCCUUCAACCUGGGCGGCCUUGCCCGAACAUUCCAGUCGUACACAUUUUCCCCAUCGUGUGCCCUAGCCGGCGCCGCCGCCACGGAGCUUCGUCGCCGCCACGCACCUGCGCCCCUCCCACUGAGCUGCGUCGCCGCCAUGCAACCGCGCAUCCGCCAGCCGCCAGAUCCCCCCCAGCUGCCGUCUAGCCUUCCCUUGCUAUCCACGUAUUCGGCUGCCGCUGGCCAGGUCGUGGACUGGAAGGAUGGAUCGACCGCCUGAAGCUGGAAGCAGUUAAUUUCUUCUGUACGGACCUUCAAUUUUGUUUCUUCCAUGGGGAUUUGCUUUGGUUCGGUUCAAUUUAGCUGUAGUAGAGUGCGCAUUGGUAGAUUAAUUUUGUGUUCAUUCUAGGACUGACGAGGACAAUGGUACUGAGAACGUGCAUGUGAAGUUCCGCCCAUGCAUUGCGAAGCUUGGUGACGGUAGCGAGGAUGUAAUUGAAUGCAAUUAUAUGGUUAAUUUGAAAGUUAAAGUGGGGGACAUCACUGUCAGGAGAUUCAUAGAGGAAAUUGGGAAAAUUGUUCCUUGGGGUAAAGGGCAGGAGGUUGAGUUGUGUUCAUAUGGGAAGCGGUAGAAGCUUGUGAGAAUCACCACUACCCCUCAGCUGGUUGCGGCAAUCAAAUCGGGGCGGACAGAAGAUAAGGAGGCUCCAGAUGUUAGGAUUUAUGCGGAGCUAAUUAGAGCCUCUGCAGACUCGGUUGUAGGAUAUGUUGAAUCUAAGGCAGCAGAGGCGGUAAAUGAUGAAGCAUUCCUAGCUAGGAGUUCUCCACUGAGGGAUCCGGAGAAUUGGGCCCCGAAACAUGUGCCUGCUGAUUUGAGACCUGGGGGAGAAGGUCCAAAUGUUGAUUGGAGCAAAAUUAUCUUAGAGGAGUUCACAGACUUUGCUCCUGAAUCAAUUUCGGAGGCUAAAUUUUACACUCUUUAUGGAAUUCCGGUGGACAAGGAUGAGGAAGAAGGGGCAGAAGUGUUGCCACCCCUGCCUAGGCCGUCAAUUAAUGUACCUUCUGCAAGUUGUGCUGCUGACGAAGCUGCCUGCAAGAGGCUAUUCAAGGAGGCCGGUACUGAGGUGGAUGGUGACCAUGAAGUGGAGUUAUAGUGUGUGUAUGACAAAGAGCAUCCUGAGUUCGCAAUGGGCAAGAUGUGGCCAACUAUGAAGGAACUGAAGAUGUCACUGAAGACAUUUGCUGUCAAUAAGGAGUUUGCCACAUAUACUGCCUGGACAUCGAAAAGCAGGUACUGCGUGAAAUGCAAGGGGGUGGAUGGGGAACAGAAGCCAUGUCCUUGGUACAUGUCAGCAAGAAGGAUGCCUGAUCAAACUACGGUUAUGGUUAAUUAGAUGCCACAUGAUCAUACAUGUGUGACAACUGCUAGGAGAGUGACAAGGAUGACUUCUCAAGCAUGGGUUGCAGAGAAGGUCAUGAAGAUUUUGAGUACAAAACCAAACUCAACUGCCAAAUGGCUUAAGUCUGAGUUGGAGAAGGAUUACAAAUGCACACUAAGUUACAACACUGUCUGGAAAGGGAAGUAAAGAGCUAUGAAGGAACUCUAUGGUGAUUGGAGGCAACACCAUUAGAAUGUUGUUAAACUUCAAAGCAGAGAGGAAAAGAGGAGUCCUAGGAAUGUGGUAGAGAUUGAUACUUAUGAAAAAGAUGGCAAUGUUUACUUUGGUAGGUUCGUUAUUGCAAUGAAGCCUUGUGUGGAUGGUUUCAAAGAUGGAUGCCGUUCAUACCUUAGCAUAGACUCCACUGCACUGGAUGGGAAGUGGCCUGGGCAGCUGGCUUCUGCAGUAGCUUUAGAUGGGAACAACCGGAUGUUUCCUGUUGCUCAUGCUUUGUUUCAGUUAGAAACAGAGGCUAAUUGGACUUGGUUCAUGAGUAAACUGAAAAAGGCCUUAGGAGAAAUGCAUCCCUUAGCAAUAUGCACAGAUGCACAAAAGGGUUUGGAGAAUGCAGUCCACAAGGUUUUUCCCCGUGCAGAGUAGAGGGAGUGCUUCGGCCAUUUGUGGCUUAAUUUGAUCAAGAAAUUUCAAGGAGAUGUAUUUGGAAGGAUGUGGCCAGCGGCAAGAGCUUACAACCCACACAAUUUCCAGUAUCAUAUGGAGAAGAUCUUGGCAGCGAGCCCUGAAUUUGGUGUUUAUCUGAAGAAUUACCAUUCAUUGUUGUGGUACAGGAGUGCCUACAACACUGAUAUAAAGGUUGAUCACAUCAAUACCAUUUGCGUGAAAGUUUUAACGCCUGGAUAAAAGAUAUCAAAGAUCUUCCUGUGCAUGAGCUGAUGGACACUCUGAGGAUUUGUUUAAUGAAUCUCUGGAGUAAGAGAAAAACUCUUGCCAGUAUGUUGCAUGGUGAUAAGCUACCAUCAGUUGUCCAGCAGGUGGUAUGCAGGAGCGGAGGGCUUGGGAACCUUCAUGUUGUCAAUGCCUCCCCCUACACUGCAGAAGUUUUAGACACUGAUAAGAAGAGGAGACAUGUAGUGAAGAUUGACCUACAUGAGUGCACCUGUCUUGAGUGGCAAGCAACUGGAAAACCUUGUCCCCAUGCUCUUGUGGUACUGGCAGCGAAACUUGACUUGAUGAUGGGUCAAUAUUUGCAUCCCUAUUACUCUAUUGACCGAUUUAAGGCAGCAUAUGCAGGAGAGAUCUCGGCACUUACUGACCAAUCUCAAUGGCAUGAAGUGAACAUUGGAUACGAUCUUGCUGCCCCCAAUAUAGCUAGAAAGCCUGGCAAGCCAAAACAUGUGCGCUUCAAAAGUUUUUUGGAGCGAAAUGGAAAGAAAGGAACUAAAGGGCAAAAGAAGGGGAGCAAAGUAGCUGAAGCUGAAGCAGAUGGGAAAGUGAAACCUCCAAAAUAACGACAGAGGUGCAAGAGAUGUAGAAUAUUGGGCCAUCGUGAUGGCUCCUCGAAGUGUGCUUACAUUCCUCCGAGACCUCCAAGGUUAGCUAUUUUAUAUUGUUUUCCCAAUUUUUACAUAAUUGUAUUUUACAUAAUGGCACCACAUAUUUCUCAUGUUGAUGACAGGCCUCGUGGUAAGAAGAAGACUGAAGAAGAACAAGCCAGAAAAGAAGAAGAGGAAAGAAUAGAUGAAGAUGCCAGAAAUCCAGAAGAGCUCAAAUUAGAAGAUUCAACUUCAGAAGAUCCUAGCUAGGAAGAAGAUUCAACUUCAGAAGAAGAUUCUACUACGGAAGAUGAGUCUUUUUCAGAUGAAGAGCCCCUCCAAGCUGUGGAUGAUUGGGGAGCCCUGGAUGAAGAAACUGAAGCUACCGUCCAAACUGAAGCAACUGCCGCUUCUGUCCAAACUGAAGCACCUGCACCUACUGUCCAAACUGAAGCAACUGCCCCCACUGUCCAAACUGAAACCAGUGAAGAUGAUGACUUCGACUUGUCCCGACAUGCUUUGAGGAGUGUCACCACCUCUGUCCCAAAGCCUAGGACCAUCAGAAACGCUCAGAAAAUCAUCGUCACCACCUCGGGGAAGAAGAGAUCCACCAUCUACAGGAAGGCAGCCAGCACCACCUCGAAGAAAAGGAAGCGGACCGCCACCAUUGAUACGUUGUACAAGAAGGCUUGAUUUUGAGUUGUACCAAGACAUCAUUUGAGAUUUAUUGUAUUGAGUUGUACCAUGACAUUAUUUGAGAUUUGUCGUACCAUGAUAUUAUUUGAGAUUUGUUGUACUGAGUUGUACCAUGACAUUAUUUGAGAUUUCGGGCACUUAUUUGCACUUAGUGAUAUUUGAGGCUUAGUUCUAUUUCUCCAUAUUCAACUUUAUUCGAAAUCUCUUUCUGAUUGCACAAAUGGAAUGUCAAUGAAAAGUUAGGAGCACCCCUGAAAUUUCAAAUUCAUCGGAAAAGGUUGACUUUCGUUGACCUUCUGAAACUUGGUACCUUUUGAGCCUUAAGCACUACAAAAUGUGUCAUUUUGGAGGAACCUUCGAAAACUAACCUGCCCCAAAUCAAUUUCUGAUUGCACAAAUAGAAUGGACAUGAAAAGUUAAGAGCACCCCUGAAAUUUCAAAUCCAUUGGAGAAAGUUGACUUUUGUUGACCAUGAUUUAAAUCCAUUCAAAUCCUUUCAUAUCUUGAAAAGUCUAAUGUUUCUUUCACUUUUUCUUGCAUGAGUUGGGUAGUAACCGUGUGUACAUACUUAUGAUAGCUGUUUCCUAACUUGAAAACCAAUAUUUGGUAUCGUUUUGGGCCAUCACAUCAAAUUUAAAUGAAUUUGAAAUUCAAAAAAAAAGGAAAACACCUUCAAAUUGAAAAUGCUUUUGCAUGCAUGCAUCACAUACCAAAUGUGGCUAGUGCACCAAAUUUCACAAGAUUUGGAGAAAGUUAUGAAAUCAAAAUCUCAAAAAGUGUUCGUAUCUCCAAUAUCUCUCUGAGGUGUUGGCUUGUGGUAGUUUGUACAUGAAGUACAUUGUGACAUUUAGAUUGUUCUGAUUUUUUUAUGUGAUGAAUACAUCACCAAAUGUUGGCACACGCAAAAAAACAUAAUUUUCUAACAAGUAUAUCAUAUUUUUAACAUUAUUUUAAUUUCGGCUUAACUAUGAAUUACACUAUUCAAGGUAUAAAACAUUUAAUUUUUAUUGGAACCAAUGUAUUUCAAUUGUAUUAGGUUACAAUGAGUUCAAUGGACCGGUCUUACAUUACUAUCUGAUGGAAAAUGUAUUGAAAAAAUGGAUUUUUUCAUUUACCGCCGAAAAUUGCUAAAAAUCGAAAAUAAGUACGAAAUAAAGUAAGUUUGCUCCACAAAAUCUGAAUUUAUUUGAGAACAACUAUUAACAUAUGAGGAGACCACACAAAAAUUGACAUAUCUUAAAAACAUCAAAUUGGUAUCUUUUUUGCCGAAAUACAUCAAAUUUAAACCAACAUUUUCACCUGUCUAUCAGUGGCGGUCAACAAGUUCAGCGACACUAAUGCGCCAACACCACUGGCAGUCGUGAUUUUCCCACCCUACACGGAUAAAAACAAUCCGUCCCUUUACCUGACAAGAUACCACAUGUACCCCACUGGUCAAGACCCUCUCUCUAUCCUGUGUGACCCGAGUUCGAUCCCCGCCCGCGAUUAAAAAUUGGGCCAGUCGCCUCUCCAUUCGUGCGCUGGUCCAGGGGCAAUUUUUUUUCCUUUCCUUAGUCUUUUUUAACAAGCUUUGAACAAAGAAGUCAACCCCUCUUCUUCUCGGGCCCGCCACCUUCUCCCAUGCGCCCCCAUCCCCGACCUCACCCUCAUCCCCCAAAAUUCCCCAUUCUAAACCCUAGCUUUCAUUUCCGUUGAGCUUGCCAACCAACGGCCGAAAGCCAUGCCGCUCCCGUCCAUGCCUUGGCUCCGCCUUCUCGUUGUCGCCCCCAACACGCACUCCGUUUGUACCCUCGCAUUGCUGUCCUUGCGCCGCCUCUUUCGCGCCCCAUUGCGGCGGAAUCAGAGCUCCGUGGCCGCGACUUGGCUACUCUGGUGCGCGGGCCCCUCGCGACGGUCGAUCUCCGCGCAGCUCAGCAAGGGCGACGGUUCUACCUCGACCACGCCGCCAUCAACCAAGCUACCACCAUCAUCGAGCACGCCAAGGCCGUCAUCGAGCUAGCCACCGACACGAAGCCCCUAUCAGGUACCUCAACGACGAAGCUCGGCCUAGCAGUCGUGCUCAACAUCGGGGGCUCCCCUGUCCGGGUGGAAACCCCUAGCUCCCCUUUGGUUGUCACCGUCGCCACUGCGGCACUGUCUGUGGCGCUAAGCUACAAUGCAAUUCGGUGUGCCCCAACAAGCUUGCACGUGGGCGUCUCUCUGGGCGGCACUUUGUACUUGCAAGUGGAUUCCUCAAGUUUUGCCAUUUCGCAAGCCGCUUGUCUCUCUACCGACGAGCGCAUCGCCGUGUACGCUAAUGUCAAUGGACGCCGUCCGUCUGGCCUACAUUGGACGUCCCAUACAUCACCAACGAUCUAUCUUGCACGGGAGCUGUUGCUGGUGCGACGGUAUUCAUGGUACUAGGAGGGGGCAUCACCUGGUAUAGCGGCAGCAACUAGGGACGAAGAUGGAGACAGGGGCGGGGUACAAGCGUCGACGAACGUCUUAUCUUUAAUUAGCAACUGGUCCAGUGUAGUAGCUCUUAACCCUUAUAUAUUCGGUAGCCCCUGUAUAUUUUGGUUUGUAUUCAAACUAAAAAACUCCAAAUGGUACAAUGUUAGUACAAUGCUACGCUAUGUUAACCCUGUUUGCUCCCCUGUAUUUGCCCGUAUUUGCAACGAUGCAGUUUCUCCAGUCAUGCCAUUUCAAAUGUUUCAUGCAUACAAACAACAAACAUUACACUCUCAUGCAUACAACGAACGAACAAAACAGUCUCAUGCAUAUGGUCAUGCAGACCAGGAGCAAACAAAGUUAAAGUGCCCUGUGACAGGGACCACUGAGGGACCACUCAUUACAAUAAGCUACAUCUUCUCGAAGAGGCAAAACAACACAGCACAUAGAGUUAUGGCAACACUAAAGCGUGCCACGGCAAACACUUUCACAUCUUCCAUCUUCUUCUUGCCUUCUAGCACCUCACACAUCAAGGCUUCAUUCUCCUUUUUCCCUUCAACAAUCUUGGUUUCUAACUCCUCUACCAAUUGGUCCUGGAAAGCUAACUCAAAUUCAUGAUUUAUCAUCGCUUCAUAAAACUUUUUGCUCAUCGUCUCUUCUUCUAUCACCAUUGAUUUCAGCAAGCGAGUCUCCUUCAUCAAUACAGCAUUCUGGCCCUCUUCUUCCACAUUCUGUCUAUGCUAAAGAGGGGCUCGCUCCUCUUCAUCAUCAAACUCAUGCUCCACAAGGUAGUCCGGGUCGAAGUAGCCCAAAUUGUGAUACAUACAAUUCCAAUACUACUACAUGAGCUCACGGACAUACACAAAACGACCAAACAAAAUCGAAUCGACAAAUUGUUGCAAAUUGAAUUGAUUCACCUUGUCCACACUGCCAUUUGAGCUACUCCCAACCGAAUCCAGGAGCCAGGACAUCCUAGAUUCGCCACCGUCGUUCGUAAAUCCGCUUCGCCCCAUCUUUCUGCAAGGCACUCGAGCUCAAUUUUGGUUUCGGACCGACCUAGGGUUCCUGCCAAAUCCUAAAUUUGGGGGAAAUUGGAAUCCUGAAUGCCUAAUUUCAGGGUCCAAUACGGGGCUGGCAGGGGCUAGACAUGCUUACCUCGAGUGUGGCGACACUGGAGAGCUGCGGCGGCCACCGUGCGGAGCGGCGGCGGCGACCCUGGUUCGGUUGCGCCGGCGUGCGGAUGGGAAGCGGCCGACGCGGUUCGAUCGGGUGCGUCGAUGCGAAGCGGCGGCGGCAGGGACCGUGGGGAGCGGCGGUAGCGGCCGGCGGGAGCGGCGGCGGCGAGCUUCUUGAAAGGGCAUUUCUCUUCUAAGUGGUUUUGGUGGUGAUGACAACGUGUUUUGUUAUCUAAUCUUGUGCUAAGCAUUUCAGGGUUUAUAAAGAACUCGACACAAGAUGAAUUGUGGACCCUCAAAAAGGAAAGAAGCGUAGUGGUGUUUAGCGGCUUUUUCGGUUGAUUUGAGUCGUAGGACAUCCGUACUAUUAAUAGGGAUCCACAAGGGAAGGUAACGGGUGAAUCAAUUUCACGUACACAUCUACACCAAAUUGCACCCACUAAAAGGCCUACCCAAAAAGGUGAGAGAAGAAAACAUUUUUCUGGGUGUGUUUCUGGCAUCAUUGUUUCCAGGCGACGGAAGUUCCGGGUGAACUUCCGCUCGAACCUCCGGGUGCUCUCUGUUAGUCCUAGGGGAAUAUGCAGAACUUCCGGUGAAUAUUCAGAACUUCCAGUCAGCCGGAAGUUCCGGCUAUCCAGCGCCUAUCCCGACCAAUGCAUAACGGCUCGAUUUUUUGGAACCCACUUAUAUACCCCUUCGUCCCCAACGAGCCAAAUGACCGAGCAAGCAACCAAGAACAACACCUCUCACCUCAAGAACACCUCAAUCUUAAAUCUUCAAGAUCUCCCUCCCUAGCCACUCAUAACUCUUGAUUCUUUGAGGAUUGGAGGAGAAGAUCUUGAUCUAGGGUUUAACCAAGUCAAAAAGUUGAUUCCCCUUAUUUUCUUUGUGGAUUUCGUUUCUCUUGGGUUGUUGGGAACCCUAGAUGGAAGCGGUCACCUCGAGCUCUCCCUUGGUGAUUGAGGAGCUCGGGGCUUGGAUUGGGAGCCUCCGAUUGAGUUGUGGAGUUUGCCCUGGUCAAGUUUGUAAGGGUUCGGCGUUCGCCCUUAAGGAAGCCAUUAGUGGAACUCACCUCACCUUUGUGGUGUUGUGAGAGCUCAACUCACCUUUGUGGUGUGGUGAGUUGGAGAACAGAGUGAGCCUUCGUGGUGUCUCUACCUUUGUGGUAGAGCACUCCUCCAAACGGAGACGUACACCGAUCCCAAUAGGUGGAACUCCGGUGAAAUCUUCGUCUCCGCCUGUGGUAUCAUUUCCCCCUUACAUUCUUGCUAUUUAUUGUUGCUUCGGCUAUUGCAUUUCAUUCUAGGGUUGCAUUCACUUUAGAGAAUUUAGUAAACCCUAAGAUUAAGUGUUUGUAUCUUUCAAGAAAAGAAAAAGAAAAGCUAAAAUUUGUUAGUCGCCUAUUCACCGCCCCCCUCUAGUCGACCAUACCGAUCUUUUAAUUGGUAUCAGAGCCUCGUCUCUUAAUUAGGGCUUUACCGCUCUUAAGAGUAUGGCCGGCGAUGAUGGGGAACCCACCGUGAAACCCCAAGAAACCGAGGUGAUAGAUGAUAAUGCUCCACUAACUUUUAAAUCCAUCAAAUUGCUUUUGGAUAGCAUGCAAAAAUUUAUUCUAGGUAGUGUGGACAAAAAGAUUAGUGAGCACCUACCUAACAAAGCCUCUUCUUCUUCUACCGAGCCCUUCCAUGCCAAAGCCACCAAGUGCGGUGGAUUUGACUAAGAAAGAUUCGGAUGCCGAAGCCCGUAACAAGGCUAAGGCUAUCGAAAAGAGUGCUACCAAAUCCCAUGGUAGGGGUGGCUAUGGGUUGUAUAGUGAGGUGACUCCACCACCUCAAUAUAAUCAUCGCCACCAUAAUUUGCCACCUAUGUAUAACCAAGGUGAACCCCCCAUGCUAACCUCUACUAAUUACGUUUAUUGGUUUCAUUCCAUGAGGACUCACUUCAAGAGCACAUCAACGAAGUUGUGGAGAAUUGUUGAUGAAGGUUACUUUGUUUAUGAUCCAAAGAACAUGUCGCCACGAGAGUAUGUGGACAAUCAACUCAAUGAGCAUGUCAUUGGAAUACUCCUAAAGGCUCAACCCUUGGAGUAUAGAACAUUUGUUCAUGGUGUUGAUUCCGCUAGAGAUGCUUGGAAGCUCAUUAGUGAUCACUUUGACAACAAUGAGAGUGUCAAAAAGUCAAAGUUUGAAGUGGUCAUCAACGAAUAGAAUUUUUUUUUCAUGAAGGAUGGAGAGGUUCCGGAUGAGCUAUGUAGGAGAAUCAUCACUCUUGGAGCCAAAAUGAAGGACCAUGGAAGUCGUGACAUCAAUGAUGAAUGGCUCAAGCGUCUAUUCAUAGAAGCCAUCUCCCCACACCGAGAGGUUCAUGACGCAAUGAUUAGGCAAAGAAAUGACUACUAUAGCUUGAUUCCAAGUCAAGUGAUGGAAGAGUUUGUGGCUAUGGAUAUUCUAAAGAAGACCUCCGAGGACAACCUCCUUCGUGCCCAGUUUCUCUCACAAAGAUCAAACCUUGCUUUGAAGGCCAACGUGACUCCCACCUCAACUCCAUGUGAAGCACCCCAACAAGAAGAGGUUGAGAUCACGGAAGAAAAUUGCAAUUAUGAGGUUAGUGAUCAUAUGGCUCUUGCGGCUCAAGCUUUUUGGAAGAACAAGAAGUUUGUCAAGACCAACACCUUCAACCCCAACAACUUCUACAACAACAAGUGAGCUUCAAGCUCCAAGCCCAAAGGUCAAAGAUCUCGUAAAUGUUAUAAUUGUGGUAACAAUGACCAUUUUGUUGCAGAGUGUAUUUAUGAGAAGAGGGAGGAGAAUGGUGGUCACCUUAUCCUAAAGGGGAAUACCAAGCCCUCCUUCCACAAGAAACCAAUGAAGAAGAGCCAACCAAGAAUGCUUCUUGUUCAAGAAGAAUAUACUUUGGGUGACGGAGAUGAUGAUGAGGAAGAGUUCAUGGAGAAGGCAAACAUUGCAAUAGCUCCUUCACUUCCAUCUCUCUUCGACUCCCCCAAUGAGAACAAGAACCACUCACCCAAGUGCCUCAUGGCCAAGACCUCUUCGGUAAUCCCUCCUCCCACCAAGCAUGUCAUUCCUAAGAGUUUAUCUCUAUUUGAUUGUGUGGAGGAGAGUAGUGUUGUUAAUCAUAACAUGAAUGCGUUCGAGAUCUUCAUGACAAGCUUUGAAGGUGAGACCAAAAAGAGGUUUGAGAACGUCUUGGAAAAACUAGGUGAAGCUCAAGCUAUUAUUGAAGAACAUGAUGAGCUAAUGGAUGAAAAGGUAAGACUUGAGUGCGUUGCCGCUCAUGAGAUUGUGGAGCUUAAUGAAGCUCUUGAGGAAGAACAAGCAAAUAGGGAAGCAAAUUGAGGAGUCGCUUUCUAAGGAACUUGCUAAAGUUAAAGAUUCAUAUGAUAAUGCUAUUUCCCUUGCUAAUGAGUACUUGGGCAGGAUAUGUGAAGUUGAGAAUGGUCAUAGGAACCUCCUUGAGGACUUUGACAAACUUGGAAAGGAUCACAAGUCUUUGACAAGUGAGUACAAGUCUCUCAAAGAGUCUUGUGAUCAUCUUCUAUAUUCUCUUGUUAAAGAAUUAAUUUCUAAUGAUAAAGAUACUUCAAUUAACCCUUGUUGUAAGCAUACAUCUAUGAUUGAGGAGAAUGCUAGGUUGAAGGCUCAACUUGAAAAGGUCCUAGCCACUUUCUUCCAAGGGAAGAAAAACCUUUAUGAUCUUUUGAAUAAUCAUAGAAAAACUUUUGAAUUGGAGGGAAUUGGGUACAACCCCAAUGAGAAGAGCAACAACAACAAGAAGGCCAAGACUUCUCUCCACACUAAUGCUUAUUUUGUGAAGGAAGAGGAGGCGGCAAAGGAGAAGCCAAAGAACAAGAAGGGUGGCAAGGCCACCUAUGAUAAUAGUGUCGGGGAUUUCAAUCCCUCAUAUGUUCUUUGUCGUACUAAUGAUAUUUAUGCCAAAUUUGUUGGUUCUCCUUAUGAAUAUGUUCAUUGGUCUAUUUGGGUUCCUAAGACCCUUGUUGCUAACGCUAAAGGAUCCAUUCAAAGAUGGGUACCUAAAACCAAAGCUUAAACUUGUAGGAGGUUGCUUCCGGUGGAUCUUCAUGGAUAGUGGAUAGUGGAUGCACUAAUCAUAUGACCGGAAGCAAAGAAUUGCUUGUGGACGCCAAAAUGAGUACAUCAAGGCCCAAGCAAGUUACUUUUGGAGAUUCCUCACAAUCAACGGUAUUGGGACUAGGCAAGGUUGUCAUCUCUUCGGAUACAUCCAUUGAGAAUGUCAUGCUUGUUGAGUCACUUUCAUACAAUUUACUUUCGGUACUUCAACUUGCACAUAUGGGUUUUUAUUCCUUCUUUGGCACAACUAGUGUGACCCUUUUGUGGAGCAAGACUCUUAAAGUAGCAUUUGUUGGAUAUGUGGAAAAUGUUCUCUAUGUGGUAGAUUUCGGUAAGAAAACCUAGACGGAAGCGUUCACCUCGAGUUCUCCCUUGGUGAUUGAGGAGCUCGGGGCUUGGAUUGGGAGCCUCCGAUUGAGUUCUGGAGUUUGCCCCGAUCAAGUUUGUAAGGGUUCGGCGUUCGCCCUCAAGGAAGCCAUUAGUAGAACUCACCUUUGUGGUGUUGUGAGAGCUCAUCCCACCUUUGUGGUGUGGUGAGUUGGAGAAUAGAGUGAACCUUCGUGGCGUCUCUACCUUUGCGGUUGAGCACUCCUCCAAACGGAAACGUACACCGAUCCCAAUAGGUGGAACUCCGAUGAAAUCUUCGUCUCCACAUGUGGUAUCAUUUCCCCUUACAUUCUUGCUAUUUAUUGUUACUUCGGCUAUUGCAUUUCAUUCUAGGGUUGCAUUCACUUUAGAGAAUCUAGUAAACCCUAGGAUUAAGUGUUUGUAUCUUUCAAGAAAAGAAAAAGAAAAGCUAAAAUUUGUUAGUCUCCUAUUCACCCCCCCCCCCACUCUAGUCGACCAUACCGAUCUUUCACUUCUUCAGUGGGUGUCGGGGGCAAAUUACCCAGUGUCCUGGUCAGGCUCGCGAGUUUGAUUGGAUAAGGAUGAUCCGACGUGGCAAUUUUGUGGGACCCACGUGGUCUGGUCUUAAGCUAAGACAAGGACGCUUAGAGCCGGCCCCACUUGCCAGUUUCCCACAUUUUGCAGUUCCACCGCUCCGGUUCGGUUCUGGUGAAUGGCUCCCGUCCGCACGGUCUGAUGAGCAAAGCUUCGUUCACGUGGUCGCUUUUGUGUUUGAAAUCGUUCGUGAGCUCGGUAUGAGCCAUUAGCCCACACGAGCAACGAGCCGACGACACGUACGCGACGAACCGUCUUACCACCAGCUCACUGACAAGUCGGCCAAUCGAGCCAGGAAUCCGCGCGAGGAAAGUCGCAGGGCGGUGAGGCUAGUCAUAGCGGGGAGUAACAUAAACUAUUAACAUGGAUAUAACUGGUCAAAAAAAACUAGUAACAUGAAUUUGUUACUAGUCUAUGUUACUAUUUCAAUAGUGGGUAGUAACAUAUUAGUGGUAACAUAGAAACCUCAUUUAUUAGCUUUAUAAACUAAUUCUAUCUUGGGAAAUAUGAUGUGAUGAUAACCUAUCUAGUUACCCCGACCCUCUCUUUCCUCAUUAAUAACAUGACACAUCAUCAAAAUUGCUUAGUUGGCACUUUAGUUACCAGCUUUGUUACUCCCACUAUGACUAGUUUGAGAGUGCGGGGAUUCUACCCAAACGUAGAGAUUGGAGGGAUAGGCUGAUCUAACCGUUAGAUUUUAACGGCCUUUGGCUUUGCGCAAGCAGGAGAAUGGGCCGGCCGCCUACUUAAUGUUCAAGUACCGCUUCUCAAAAAGAAUUUGGUCGGCAAUUCAAGAUUGGCUUGGUCCGAAGAAAUUUCACCCUCACCUUUGGGAUGGCACAACCUCACAACCUCGGUGAAGGAUUGGUGGACGAUCAUCGUCUUAGAUCGAGAUGUUGAGCUUUGGAAUGAGUGGAAUGCUAGGAUGUUUAGGAACAUGGCCACCCUACGAUCUAUCAUCAUCAACAGAAUGAAGGUAGAAACGGCUAAUUGGCAUCUCGCGGCCAAAAACCUCGGGGAAUAUUUGGUCGAGAGAGUAUGCCUUCAUGUUGUUGUUGCUUUGUUUUGUACUACCUCCGUACAUGUAUCUAGACACUUUUUGAAAAUAGAUACAUCCAUGUUUGAGCAAAUUUGAGACAAGAAUUAUGAAACGGAGGGAGUACAUACGUGUUGUAAACCUCCUUCUUAAUUAAUGAAAUGAGACAAAACUUUUUCCUCCGUUUCGAAAAAAUAAAUCCACAUACAUCUCUUGUGACAUCCAGACAGUUUCGACCCAUAUUAAAACAAUUUGCUACAUUCUACUUUUCAACAGAAACUUUGUGACAUUUUUGCCACAUUUUAUUUUGCCCGACAAACUGGACUCACCACUGCUACGUACAAAAUACAUUACAGCUGAUCGGUCAGCACUGACGUGUCAUAUAAAUGAUGUCAAUGAUCAUCAUCCUCGGCAGACCCAUGACGUCGGUGGUAAUUUUCAGAUCACACUUCGAUGAAACAACCAGUGAUGGGUGCCUAGUGCACUAAUCAGUACUGUGGGUAGCCAAUAGUUUUGUGUCACAUUUGACUGGAAUGGAGCUUAAGCGAUUUUCCAUUGGCGGGAAACAAGAAGUGACCAUCAUUGCACACUGAGUGUUCACGCAGUGACAAGAAACAUUUUGGCCAAUCAAACACCCUUGAAGGGCCUAUUGAAUCCACCCGUCAAUGAAUUGCUUUGGAGUUACUCCCUCUGUCCAGAAAUAAGUGGAUGUUUAGCUUUAAAAUUUGUCCACAAAAGAGUCUGAUUGUCUCGUUCCAAAGCACUUUAAAAUAAGAAAAAAUGGUUCUAUCUCAUCACUCAGAAAUCAAACCCAAUAACAUUUCUCUUCAUUUUCUACAUACACUUAGUUCAUUGUAGGUGGGAGAAUUAAAGAGGAGAUAGAUGAUGGUUGACACCUCUCCAAUGCACUUUCUACCUCACUCCAUAAUUUUUCUUAAAAUUCAUAUAUGUCCACUUAUUUGUGGAUGAAGGGACUAGGUCCCAUGGAUGGGACGUGGGCCAGCAUUGGCGUUGACAGCAGGGGACCGGCAUCUUCUGGAGGGACCAAUGUGUGAGUGACAUUGGUAGGGUUGUAGUGGCAUGUUGUUCUUCCGUAGGAUCAAAGCCGUCUCCCUUUCUCUUUGGAAUCUUGUCCCAAUAACAUGGUUCUGGUGAUCGUUGACAUAUCUACCGGUGAGUUCUUGUUGUUUAGCGGCGCUUUAGAUCUUGUUGUUGCACCAAAACAACACUCUGUAUAGAGAGUAUCGAUGCACUAUGGUAAAAGUAUAAAGUGGCCUAUACAACGAGUUAGGUCGUUGUAUAUUUGACAAAGCUGACACAACAAUGUUUUUUAAUAGGUUCAGUCUACCCGACAAGGCGUGACCUAAUCCUAUGCUAGGAAACAUGUCAAGGGAAAGUUAUCCUUGAGUUUGGACCAAACAGGAUUUCUCAAGGUACAAGGUUAGGAAUUCGUCCGAACCCUCUCGAGUUCAGGCCACACGGGCUUCCCGAGCUAUGAGGUGGAUACCCUCGAAAUCCUAAACUUUUUUGUUGAUGUCCAGUCCAAGUCGAACGGGGCUCUCCGGAUCUCAAAGCUAGAGUUCCCUUGCAGUUUUAGUCCUCUACCUUUGAUUUUAUUUCAAGUGAGAGCGAAUCAUGCCUCAUGGAGUUAUAUAGAUAAGAGAGCAUGGCUACAAUUAUUGGGAGAGAGAAUGUGAGAGCAAGAGUAAAAUUGUUGGUUCAUGGCAUGUGGUGGAUCAAGUGGUUGAGUGAUGGUCCAUGCUGUGUGUUGAACCAUUUGACUUAUCCAUUCGUGACAUGCCGCUUUUGUUCCUAACUCACUCUUCUUUUAAUCCUUCCACUUCUUUGACUUACUACCUUGUUGGUUUGACUAUGUUCUAUUGAUACCUUAAUUAGAUCGUGUUGAAUUUUGUUUGCUCGGUUAUCUCUACAUAGGAUUGAAAGGCUGGACCAUAUAAAGAUUAAUUUAGUACAACAGAUCUAGUUUUGCGUGUUUUUUACGUGUAUUUUUUAUAAAUUUGGUCAAUUAUUUUCCUCUUUUGUAAUUCCGAGAACCCUUGCUCGUUUGGCGAAGUUGGCCAGGUAUUUCCAAGCUAUAAAUUCUAGGGAAAUGGAUGAGAAUAAGAAUAAUGAAAUUGCAUGGAGUCGCUUUCUUAACGAGGUCAGGACAGAAAGUGUCUCCAACUAGAAGAAAGUGAAUAAGAUUAAGAAAAGCCAUUGAUUCUUCCCGUGACUUAGAUGGUCGUGAAUAGCGCAUCAAUUAGCUAAGUAAGUUUGGUUCGUUCGAUCAAUCGACAGAAGACAGACUUAACGAGCAUGCUCACGAGUCUCGCCAGGUUGGCUCUUUAGGCUCUUUAGUGUUAACGAAUUUCAGAAGGUGCUCUACCUAUUAGUCUAACGAACCGAGCACCAAACGAGUAGAACUGCUCGUCGAGUACCGAGUAAAUGUCCAGACCUAGUGGCAGGGAGAGCCCGGAUCGCUCGUGAAUUAGCGGCAUGAUCAAGAUUAAGAAACUGAACAAGGCAGCGCAUGAAUUGUACUCGGUACUAGCUAGUACUCCCUCCAUUUCUUAAAAAUUGGCAUAGUAGUUUUUAUCAAGACAAGGUUUUGAUCACAAAUUACUAUGUUAAAGUAUGAUUUAUAUGACAUGAAACCACAAGUAUCAUGAAGUAAUUUUGAUAACGAAUCUAGCGAUACUAUUUUCAUGUCAUAUAAAUCACACUUUAACAUAGUAAUUUGUGGUCAAAGAUUUGUCUCAGUGAAAGCUAAUAUGUCAAUCUUUAAGGAACGGAGGGUACGCUCUUACCAUUUUUUUUUAAGGAACGCUCUUACCAUUUUGAGUAGAGUAAUAAAGGUGACUUGACUCGAGACUAAAGAAAAAUGACCGUUGGUUGUUUCUGCUAAAUGGGAAACAGCCGCCAAGCUUCCUCGUGGGAUAAGUUGGGCGACUUUCUGCUAAACGGAAACAGCCGCCAAGCUUCCUCGUGGGAUAAGUUGGGCGACUUUUGUUUACUGUUCUAGUUCUUGUUGCUCCACCGAUCGUGACCGGCGGUGAUAGGAUUGGUAGAAAACAUUGAACAUCCAACCCAAUUUGAAGUCGUCGACCGUUUGUCACGGGGACGAAAUUAAGUCUGUGUUGUAUGUCCUUGUCCGAAGACCGACGGUGAGAAAAAACAAACGGGAAGAGCAGCGAAAGUGAACGAUGGAUGAACAUUCAGCCCUCCUGGGUCUACAAGUAAGCACGAACGAACCUGAUUCCCAAAUCCCAAGUUCCGGCACGUACGCAGCGAUAAUGGAGAUGGAGGUCAGUCAGAACCUCUUAUACGCGCUCCUGUUCCUCAUCACGGCCGUCUUCCUUUACCUCCGGCGCCGCCGAGCCGCUCCCAAAUCAAAAACGGCCCACUGCCCGCACCCCAACCCCGUCCUGGGCAACACGAUCUCCUUCAUCCGCAACCGUGCGCGGUUCUUCGACUGGUACGCCGACCAGCUCCGUGCAGCCCCGUCCAACACCAUGGAAGCCUGGGGCCCUUUCGGCGCCUCUCACGCCGUCACGACCGCCGACCCCGCGGGCGUCGACCACCUUCUCCGCGCCAACUUCGUCAACUACAACAGGGGCGCCCACUUCCGCGAAGCCCAGUUCGACCUCAUCGGCGACGGCCUCUUCGGCGCCGACGGCCGCCUCUGGAGCCUCCAGCGGAAGCUAGCCUCCCACGCCUUCUCCUCCCGCUCCCUCCGCCGCUUCACCCGCGACGUCCUCGCCGUCAGCCUCACCCGCUGCUUCCUGCCCUUCCUCGACGCCGCCGCCGCCGCGGGAUCCGUCUUGGACCUGCAGGAGGCGCUGCGGCGGUUCGCGUUCGACAACAUCUGCCACGUGGCCUUCGGCGUCGAGAGCGCCACGCUCCUCGAGUGGGCGGACGUCCCGCGGCACGAGGCGCUCUUCGCGGCCUUCGAGACCGCCGUCCGGAUCUCCUUCAUGCGGACGCUCACGCCGUCCACGCCGCUGCGGAAGCUCACCAAAUUCCUCAACGUCGGGAACUCGCGCCGGCUAAGAGAAGCCGUCGGCGUCAUAGACGCCCACGCCAUGUCGGCCAUCCAAGCCAAGGAGGAGGAAUUAGCGAACCGUCAAGGAAACAACGACCAGGGCGAUCCGGACUUGCUCGCGCGGUUCAUGGCCGCCAUGGACGAGGAGGAAGGCUGCAGCAGCGAGCUGGCCGCCAUGUUCCCCACGGCGGAGGCCAAGCGCCGGUUCCUCCGGGACGUGGUGGUCAGCUUCGUGCUGGCCGGGAAGGACACGACCACCUCCGCCCUCUCAUGGUUCUUCUGGCUCCUCGCCGCAAACCCGUGCUGCGAGCGCCGCGUCCACGAGGAGGUCUCCCGCGAGGGAGACAACAUCAAAGGCAUGCGCUACCUCCACGCGGCCAUCACCGAGGCGAUGCGGCUGUACCCGCCGGUGCCGCUCAACGGGAGAAUGGCGGUCGCGGACGACGUGCUCCCGGACGGUACCGCGGUGCGCGCCGGCUGGUUCGCCAACUACUCGGCGUAUGCCAUGGGGCGGAUGGAGAAGCUCUGGGGCGAGAACUUCUUGGAGUUCGUGCCUGAGCGCUGGCUUGGUGAUGGCGGAGAGUUCAUGCCCGUGGACGCGGCAAGGUACCCGGUGUUCCACGCCGGGCCGCGGGCGUGCCUCGGGAAGGAGAUGGCUUACUUGCAGAUGAAGACGAUCGCGGGGGCCGUGAUCAGGAGGUUCAGGAUCGACGUGGAGGCACCGGUGGCCAGCAUGGAGUCGCCGCCGGAGUACGAGAUGACCGGCUCGAUGAAGAUUAAAGGAGGGCUACAGGUGCGGCUCGUCAAACGGGACCAGGAGUGAUGCUGAAUAAGUCUUCGUCGACUAAAAUGCGCUAGUACUUUUUUUUUUAGGCAAAAAUGCGCUACCUCUGAAUGCAAGUCUCACCCUUGAAUUUACAGGAUACCCUCUUUUCUUCUCCAUGGGAUUACAUCCCGAGUUAUUGUGAAAAAAAAAUAAAAAGGAUAUGGAAGUCAAUAUUCUCGCAUUUAUCGCUACUGCACUGUUCAUUUUAGUUCCUACUGCCUUUUUACUUAUUAUUUAUGUAAAAACAGUGCCAAAAUAAUUAAUUGGAAUUCCAAUUAAUCAUUGAAGAAAUGAAAAAAGGAUUAAAUAAAAAAAAUCCAAGUCUUAAAUGAAAGGAUCCGGUUGGAAUCUUAAAGUGUAGUUUUUUCUACCACACUUCAGAGUCUUUUCUUUCUGUUAUAUUAGUUUUGAAUCUAUAUAGAAUAGGUUAGUGGAUUGAAAUAGUAGUCUAAUUUCAAUUUCUUUUGUCCAUAAAAGGAUGUCGCGCUCAAAAAACCCUCGGAAAAUUCCUGACCAAACAGGCGGUCCUCCCACACUCUUCUUCCUCGCCGCACGCCGCCUCUCCGCUCGUACGCCGCACGCCGCGACGGAUAGCUCGCCCUCGCUACCUCCCUCCGCCGUCGAAGGUUGGGUUUUUCUCGUUGCACCCAGCCCACCGGCUCGCUGACCGCCUCCGCUGUGCGCCCAGUCGUCGCGCGGGCUGGCCGCCUCUGCCCUGCGCCUUGUCAUAGCGCUCGCUCGCGGCCUCCGCCGUACUCCCUGCCGUCACGCUCGCCGGCCCCCUCUAUCUCUGAGGCGCGGCCUCCUCCAGCCGCUGAAACCUCCCACAGGACUGAAGAAGUGACUACUUUCUGAAAGAAUUAUGGAGCCAACAGCUAUCUUAGAGCCAUCCUCAACUCUUUGGCACCUAUUUUGCAGAUGGUAUUGCCUGUUGUCCGAAACCCUCUGGACAUUGCCAGUCAGUACACAAAUUUAUUUCCUAUUGUUUGACUCAAAAAUUGAAACAAUAACUCACAGUCACCACUACAUCAAUGUUGACAUCAGAAGCUUCAUCUACUCAAGAUUUCUAGCUAUCAAAACGUAGUUGCAAGAAUAAUAGCAACCAUUACAACCAUUGUCACUUCAUAACUAUUCAGCCAUUCUACUUAACCCCUUCUACAGUUCUGAAUUUUAGAAGUGCGAAGCCGAAGCAAACAAGUUCUUCCUGUCAGGAGAACAGAUCAAGUUUAUAGCUAGCAGAAACACAAGAGCUGCUGAGUUUUUCUGAACCUAUAUCUCUAUGCAAAAUUUCUGAAUUCUCAUGAUGUCAGUGAGUGCCUCUGCUCUGCCAUCAUCCCCUUGCAGUACUUGACAGUGUUCUAUACUCCUAACUGGAUUUUUUUUUCCUGCAGGAUGUUGAGCAUAGCUACAUUAUGAUCAAACCUGAUGGUGUUCAACGUGGUCUGGUAUGCAUCUCUUGACUUUUGUCAUUGUUUUGGUUUAAUUUCUGUUAUCUGUUUCAGUUCAGAUCAAACAGGUAGCAUGUGAAUUAUAAAAUAAACUGAAAUUGUGAACUGAAUAUUACAUGUACACGUAUAUUCAUCACAAAUUCUUGAAUUAACUGAAAUUCUCAGAAAAUUCAGUUAACUGAACAAUAGAAAAUUCAUUUUUCAUAAUUUUAACUAUCCAUGUUGCAUUAUGCAGAAAUCUUGACCCUGAUGAGGACAUCUCAAGUAAUGAUACAACCACAGCUCCUACAGCACCUACACCUCAAGUACCGGAGAUACAUGGACCAAUUACUAGAGGUCGUGCACGACAACUAAAUUAUCAGGUACUUUCGUUCCUCGGUACUUCAUUUAAUAUUAAUGAGAAUAUGCUGCUGCCUAAGAUGGGUUCUUUUAUGUGUUUUAGGAAUGAAGGACCUAGCUUGGACCUCAAGGAUCAGCGUUGGACAGCAAACCAUGGAGGUGGCAGCAAGGUGGCGGGAGUUAGCUCAAGUGUUGAUUUCAGAACAUUGAAACCGCCAUAAAGAGAUGAGAAGAAGGCCGCAUCCUCUUCAUCAAUUGGAUUUCGGCCAAGUGGAGGAUUCCCCUUCCAAUAGGUAUAUAUGGGCCAAAGAUGAGGGUUAUAACCUUGUUUUAUUGGGCCUAAGGCCAUGUAAUAGGGUCCAGCCAAGUUUUAGAUGUUUUCGUUGUGUUUUAGGAGGAUUCCUAGGCCGUUUCGGAGUCCCACAAGGGCCUGGCCGAAAACCACCUAGUUCCCCUCCUAUUUAUACCCCAUGAGCCCCACUAUGGAGCAUUGGGUUUUGAUUAGAUAAAGUUUAGCCUUUGCUACUUUCGUGUAAUCGCGUGUGUCGGUUAGACCACCUGUUUUACCGUCAUCAAGACUCCAACUAUAUUGAGUAUUCAGAUUCGUGAAUCUUCAUAUCUCCUAUUCGCAAUUUCAGAUUGCUUUUCAUUUUGUUCUUGCUUGUUCUUCGAUUGCUUGCAGGAACAAAGACCUUCGUGGUCAGGUUGAUCGUGCCCCCGCGGGAUCAAUAACCUUCUGGAGUUGGUGUAUCGAUCGCUAAGGCGCUGCCUCCUAGGUUGUAGUCGGAUCGUCAACGUCACCUCCUACCAAAUCGAUAAUUAGGUAUCUCAUCGAAAGAUCGGGACACCCUCGAGGCUAUCACGUGGUAUCAGAGCUUAAGGUUGCUCGGUGAGAUUUUUCCAGUUUAUCCGUAGUUUAGAUCUGUUUUUUGCAGAAUCUAAUUAACCGAAUUAUGCAGAAAUCUUGACCCUGAAAUAUUUUCUUCAAAAGUUUCAAAACUUGAAGUUUCUAAGCCAAAGCAGAAUUCACAGUGGGUUUCUAAGCCAUGUUACAAUUAUCAAAAGUCAGGGCACUAGUGCAUCUACAAUUUUGAGUUUCUAAGCCAAAGCCCAGAAGCCAUCUUGUUCCUGAAAAUAUUUUCAGAAAUCAUCCCAUAAUCAUCACAGAAAUCAUCCCAAGUACAACUAGUUACCGAAACAACUGAUGUAGUUACUGAAACUACAACUACAGCUAACAUUCAUCACACAACUACCACAGGCACAAUUCUCUGAACAUCAUCACACAAUUGCAGAGAUUGUUGUUAUCCAAUUCUGUAGAGGAACAUCAUCAUCACACAAAUAUCUGAACAUCAACUGAAUUCUUGAGUUAACUGUUACAAUAUGUAUAUCAUGAAGCUGUUCAACCAGUACUGAAAUUAGGGACAAAUUCAGUUAACAGGCACAACUAUUAACUGAACUAGAACUGAACUAGGGACAAAUUCAGUUAACAGGUAGAACUGUUAACUGUUUUUAUUCAGACAGAGAAGUUUACUGUUAACAGUUAAAAGUAAAUUCAGUUAACUCUAUUAUAGUUCUCUGAAGUGUUAACUCUAUUCCAGUGCACAAUGUUAACUAGGGACACAGACUCAAUCUCUGUAUUCUGAAACAAAUACAGCCUCUUUAUUCCACAAUGCUAACUCGGCAACCUCAAUCUUUGUAUUCUGAAAUAAAUUCAGUUAACUCACAACAUAACCAGUUAACUCUACAGCCAUGUACCAACAUUUCAUCUGUCAUCAAAAUUCAGAGCUGUCAAGAACCAAUUCCCAUUGUUCACACAAACAGGACAGACACAACACAACUCCUAGAAAAGCUAAAUUGCUGCAUUUUGAAUCUCUCUAUUCAGAUACUCCAUAUUUCUGAACUUGUUUUUAUAGAAAAGACCAGUACUGUUCAAUCAGAGAAGAAUCCAGUUCUAGUUCUGAACUUGUUUCUAUAGAUCUUGGACAAAUACUCUUGUGUAUUGUUCAAUCACAGAAGAAUCCAGUUCCAGUUCUAUUGCUCCAUUGAACGUUGCUGCUGAGUAUGAACUGCAGGUGCUCUGAAGAUUAUGAACUAAACAAGUGUAUUGUUUGUUGCUGCAGAGUAUGAAAUGAGGAUCAAGAUCAGAAUAAGGCGACGUCCUCCUCUUCGGCAGCAGAGGAAGACAAGCGCCACCUCGUCCUCGUCCUCAGAAGAAGGCGAUGACCUCCUCUUCGGCAACCUCCUUCCUCGGCGGCAGAUGGCGAGGGAGCUGCGGAGGCGGGGGAGACUCACGCGGGAGCGGCGCGGCCGUAUGAGGGAGCACCGCUAGCAAGCCGGUCGGCCGGCCGCCCGAUUGCUCCUCCGCGAUUGCAAUCUGCCAGGUCCGGCGUUCGCGAUGCAGGCGCCCGCGAGAUGGAUUGCCUCUGCGAGAUUGGAUCGGCUCCAUGAGAUUUGAUGCGUCCGCGAGAUUGGAUGAGGCCGGCGGGAGCUCUACUUGCCGGACUGCGGAAGUUGGCGGCGACGAGAAGGUAGCGGGACUGCGGGACGGCGAUGGGGAAGAUUCCAGUUUUGAUUUUUCAAUUUGAAUCCCAAAGUUCAAACGAUCCGCAUGUUUGAGGGGUUUUUAGCAAAAUUUAAAUUGAACUAGAAGGGAGGAAGGAUGCGACAUCCUUUUAUGGACAGAGGAUACUUGUUAUCUCAGGAAGAAAUAACUCAUGGGCCUGUUUGAUCGCAUCCAAUAUGGGCCUAUUUGAUUGCAUCAUGGCCUUUUUUUUCUUUUCCCUGUGUACGAAAUUGAAUUCAACGGGCUGUUGGACAAACCUAGCCAGUAACAUGAACAAAUAUGGGUUGCGGGCUGUGCCGGCUAGGGCACCGGCUGC